rfam:Camelus ferus unplaced genomic scaffold scaffold803, whole genome shotgun sequence.
GAGGGUACAGCUCAAGUGGUAGAGCGCGUGCUUAGUAUGCAUGAGGUCCUGGGUUCAAUCCCCAGUACUGCCU